AUAUAUAGAUAUAUAGAUCUGUGUGUGUGUGUAUAUAUAUACACACACACACAGAUCUAUAUAUCUAUAUAUC
rnacentral:pre_miRNA from 8 species